rnacentral:rRNA from 1 species
UACGAAGGUUGCAAGCGUUACUCGGAAUUACUAGGCGUAAAGGGCAGGUAGGUGGUUUGGUAAGUCUAUUGUGAAAGCUCCCGGCUUAACUGGGAGAGGCCAAUGGAUACUGCCAGGCUUAGUAUAGGAGAGGUUACUGGAAUUCCCGGUGUAGCGGUGAAAUGCGCAGAUAUCGGGAGGAACACCAAUGGCGAAAGCAGGUAACUGGACUAUUACUGACACUCAACUGCGAAAGCUAGGGGAGCAAACAGG